rnacentral:rRNA from 1 species
AAUCAACGCUGGCGGCGUGCCUCAGACAUGCAAGUCGAACGAUUAAGACUUCCUUCGGGAAGUGUAUAAAGUGGCGCACGGGUGAGUAACACGUAAGUAAUCUACCUUCGAGUGGGGAAUAACAUCGGGAAACCGAUGCUAAUACCGCAUAAUGCAGCGGCAUCGCAAGAUGACAGUUGUUAAAGGAGCAAUUCGCUUGAAGAGGAGAUUGCGGCAGAUUAGCUAGUUGGUAAGGUAAUGGCUUACCAAGGCUACGAUCUGUAUCCGGUCUAAGAGGCCGGUCGGACACACUGACACUGAAUAACGGGUCAGACUCCUACGGGAGGCAGCAGUCGGGAAUUUUGGGCAAUGGGCGAAAGCCUGACCCAGCAACGCCGCGUGAGGGAUGAAGUAUUUCGGUAUGUAAACCUCGAAAGAAUGGGAAGAAUAAAUGACGGUACCAUUUAUAAGCUCCGGCUAACUACGUGCCAGCCGCCGCAGUAAGAC